GGAAUAUUGGUCAAUGGGCGAGAGCCUGAACCAGCCAAGUAGCGUGCAGGAUGACGGCCCUAUGGGUUGUAAACUGCUUUUAUGCGGGGAUAAAAUUCGUCACGUGUGGCGUUUUGCAGGUACCGCAUGAAUAAGGACCGGCUAAUUCCGUGCCAGCAGCCGCGGUAAUACGGAAGGUCCGGGCGUUAUCCGGAUUUAUUGGGUUUAAAGGGAGCGCAGGCCGAUGGUUAAGCGUGACGUGAAAUGUAGCCGCUCAACGGCUGAACUGCGUCGCGAACUGGCUGUCUUGAGUGAGUUCGAUGUGGGCGGAAUUCGUGGUGUAGCGGUGAAAUGCUUAGAUAUCACGAAGAACUCCGAUUGCGAAGGCAGCCAACAAGGCCUUUACUGACGCUAAAGCUCGAAGGUGCGGGUAUCGAACA
rnacentral:rRNA from 1 species